rnacentral:rRNA from 1 species
CGUCCCGCCGGCGACCGGCGCACGGGUGAGUAACACGUAUGCAACCUGGCCGCCACAGGGGGAUAACCCGCGGAAACGCGGCCUAAUACCCCGUGACGCCACCGGAGGGCGUCCUCCGGUGGCCAAAGGAGCGAUCCGGUGGCGGAUGGGCAUGCGGCGCAUUAGCUAGACGGCGGGGUGACGGCCCACCGUGGCGACGAUGCGUAGGGGUUCUGAGAGGAAGGCCCCCCACACUGGGACUGAGACACGGCCCAGACUCCUACGGGAGGCAGCAG